UUAAAUUGAAGAGUUUGAUCAUGGCUCAGAUUGAACGCUGGCGGCAGGCCUAACACAUGCAAGUCGAACGGUAACAGGAAGAAGCUUGCUUCUUUGCUGACGAGUGGCGGACGGGUGAGUAAUGUCUGGGAAACUGCCUGAUGGAGGGGGAUAACUACUGGAAACGGUAGCUAAUACCGCAUAACGUCGCAAGACCAAAGAGGGGGACCUUCGGGCCUCUUGCCAUCGGAUGUGCCCAGAUGGGAUUAGCUUGUUGGUGGGGUAACGGCUCACCAAGGCGACGAUCCCUAGCUGGUCUGAGAGGAUGACCAGCCACACUGGAACUGAGACACGGUCCAGACUCCUACGGGAGGCAGCAGUGGGGAAUAU
rnacentral:rRNA from 1 species